rnacentral:rRNA from 1 species
CCAGCAAUGGAGGCAGCCGACCACGGUAGGGUCAGCGACUGGGGUGAAGUCGUAACAAGGUAGCCGUAGGGGAACCUGCGGCUGGAUCACCUCCUUU